rnacentral:lncRNA from 1 species
GAAUAAUAUCGAUAAUAAAAGAAAAAAAGAAAACAAGCAUUCUCACUCCAGGGGAACAUCGACAUCGCCAUCGUCGAUUUCCUGCUGCAAAUCCUUGGGGUCUUUGCCAUCAACCGUACAUCCCACGGAGACGCAGGUGCCCAGAAUCUCCUUCACCGUACCUCUUAAGUCCUUAGCCAUCGACCUCGGCCUCAUUACUUUAGCAAUCUCGAUGACGUCAUCAAGGCCGAUGUUCCCAUUAUGCUUGAUGUUUUUGGUCUUCUUCCUAUCCCUCUCAGGCUCCUUCAAAGCCUUGAUCACCAGCGCCGCCGCCGACGGGACAACCGUGACUU